GUGAGGAAUAUUGGUCAAUGGGCGAGAGCCUUAACCAGCCAAGUCGCGUGAAGGAAGAAGGUUCUAUGGAUUGUAAACUUCUUUUGUAAGGGAAUAAAAAAGAGUACGUGUACUCUAUUGUAUGUACUUUACGAAUAAGGAUCGGCUAACUCCGUGCCAGCAGCCGCGGUAAUACGGAGGAUCCGAGCGUUAUCCGGAGUUAUUGGGUUUAAAGGGUGCGUAGGCGGACUUAUAAGUCAGCGGUGAAAGUUUGCAGCUUAACUGUAAAAUUGCCGUUGAAACUGUUAGUCUUGAGUGUAAAUGAGGUAGGCGGAAUGUGUUGUGUAGCGGUGAAAUGCUUAGAUAUAACACAGAACACCAAUUGCGAAGGCAGCUUACUGGGAUACAACUGACGCUGAGGCACGAAAGCGUGGGGAUCAAACAGGAUUAGAAACCCUUGUAGUCC
rnacentral:rRNA from 1 species